UUGCCUUAGUAACGGCGAGUGAAGCGGCAACAGCUCAAAUUUGAAAGCUGGCCCUUUUAGGGUCCGCGUUGUAAUCUGUAGAGGAUGGUUCGGCGAGGGCUCCCGCCUAAGUCCCCUGGAACGGGGCGUCAUAGAGGGUGAGAAUCCCGUAUGCGGUGGGUUGCCUUAGCCAUGUGAACCUCCUUCGACGAGUCGAGUUGUUUGGGAAUGCAGCUCUAAAUGGGAGGUAAAUUUCUUCUAAAGCUAAAUACCGGCCAGAGACCGAUAGCGCACAAGUAGAGUGAUCGAAAGAUGAAAAGCACUUUGGAAAGAGAGUUAAAAAGUACGUGAAAUUGUUGAAAGGGAAGCGCUUGCAACCAGACUUGUCCGCAGUUGCUCAGCCGGUCUCCUGACCGGCGUACUCUUCUGCGGCCAGGCCAGCAUCAGUUCGGGCGGUCGGAUAAAGGCCUCGGGAAUGUGGCUCCUCUCGGGGAGUGUUAUAGCCCGGGGCGGAAUGCGGCCAGCCUGGACUGAGGAUCUCGCUUCGGCAAGGAUGCUGGCGUAAUGGUUGUAAGCGGCCCGUCUUGAAACACGGACCAAGGAGUCUAACAUCUAUGCGAGUGUUUGGGUGUCAAACCCAUACGCGUAAUGAAAGUGAACGGAGGUGGGAACCCGCAAGGGCGCACCAUCGGCCGAUCCUGAUGUCUUCGGAUGGAUUUGAGCAAGAGCAUAGCUGUUGGGACCCGAAAGAUGGUGAACUAUGCCUGAAUAGGGUGAAGCCAGAGGAAACUCUGGUGGAGGCUCGCAGCGGUUCUGACGUGCAAAUCGAUCGUCAAAUUUGGGUAUAGGGGCGAAAGACUAAUCG
rnacentral:rRNA from 2 species